rnacentral:rRNA from 2 species
AACUUUCAGCAACGGAUCUCUUGGCUCUCGCAUCGAUGAAGAACGCAGCGAAAUGCGAUAAGUAAUGUGAAUUGCAGAAUUCAGUGAAUCAUCGAAUCUUUGAACGCACCUUGCGCUCCUCAAAAACCGAGGAGCAUGCCUGUUUGAGUGU